GUGGCGAACGGGUGAGUAAUACGUGAGUAACCUGCCCUUGACUCUGGGAUAAGCCUGGGAAACUGGGUCUAAUACUGGAUACUACCUCUUACCGCAUGGUGGGUGGUGGAAAGGGUUUUACUGGUUUUGGAUGGGCUCACGGCCUAUCAGCUUGUUGGUGGGGUAAUGGCUCACCAAGGCGACGACGGGUAGCCGGCCUGAGAGGGUGACCGGCCACACUGGGACUGANACACGGCCCAGACUCCUACGGGAGGCAGCAGUGGGGAAUAUUGCACAAUGGGCGGAAGCCUGAUGCAGCGACGCCGCGUGAGGGAUGACGGCCUUCGGGUUGUAAACCUCUUUCAGUAGGGAAGAAGCGAGAGUGACGGUACCUGCAGAAGAAGCGCCGGCUAACUACGUGCCAGCAGCCGCGGUAAUACGUAGGGCGCAAGCGUUGUCCGGAAUUAUUGGGCGUAAAGAGCUCGUAGGCGGUUUGUCGCGUCUGCUGUGAAAGCCCGGGGCUCAACCCCGGGUCUGCAGUGGGUACGGGCAGACUAGAGUGCAGUAGGGGAGACUGGAAUUCCUGGUGUAGCGGUGAAAUGCGCAGAUAUCAGGAGGAACACCGAUGGCGAAGGCAGGUCUCUGGGCUGUUACUGACGCUGAGGAGCGAAAGCAUGGGGAGCGAACAGGAGUUAGAUACCCUGGUAGUCCAUGCCGUAAACGUUGGGCACUAGGUGUGGGGGACAUUCCACGUUGUUCCGCGCCGUUAGCUAACGCAUUAAGUGACCCGCCUGGGGAGUACGGCCGCAAGGCUAAAACUCAAAGGAAUUGACGGGGGCCCGCACAAGCGGCGGAGCAUGCGGGUUAUUUCGCUGCAAGGCGAAGAACCUUACCCAGGCUUGACUUUCAGCGCACGGCCCCA
rnacentral:rRNA from 1 species